GGGAGGUGGAAGCCUGCUUCGUCGGUCAGUGCAGUCAGGGGGUCAAUGGGAAAAUAAUUCAGAGCAAAACCCGGAGCGGGAGUUUUGCCCCCGGGUCAGCGGGAAGCCGGUCCUGUUAUUUUAAGUAGCGACUUGCAGGGAUGCUGUGAAAAAUGGUGUCAGAAAACUUUUCCUAAGUCCACGUUACUGAAGCCAGUGUGAUUUGGACCUUUGAGGGAGUGAUUUCAAAAAGUUAGAUGUUUGUUUCCGUGAUUUAAUGUUCAAAAUAAGGGUGUGAUUUUAUGAGAGCAAUUUGCGUUGGAGUUUUAGCCACAUAUCUUAAAUAACAGAGGAUGAAAAUCUUCCACUUCCAGCUUCCCUGAUUUGCAUAUGAAUCAAGAUUAAUAAACAUUUAAAAAGUGUAGGAGAAGCUAUAAAAUUGGCUUAUGGCCUGCUGAUGCACAGGACUGAGCCAAAAGUCAUCUUGUCCCCAAUAAACUAAUCAUACUGAAGCUGAAGAGAAACUUAAGAUGGGGAGCUCUGGCAGAAAAAGUGUUCUGGCCCGCGUGCAAUGACGCCGUUCUCUCUGCCAAGGGAUCAAGUUAAAAUCUGCUUUCCUGGAAACCAGCUGAUGUCUUUAGGAAGCAUGACCCUCGUUAGGGAGACAUUGGGACCGUUGGAUAAAGAAGGGAUAGGAAAAUAUUUUUCAGCUUUCGCUGAUAUAGUAACUUACAAGGAUAAAAUAUGAACACCGCCCUAGCCCGUUUAGCUCAGUGGAUAGAGCGUUUAGCGUGCGGAAUAAAGGGUCCCGGGUUCGGUUCCAGCCAAGGGCACAUGCGCAGGUU